rnacentral:rRNA from 1 species
GACGGAGGAUGCAAGUGUUAUCCGGAAUCACUGGGCGUAAAGCGUCUGUAGGUUGUUGAACAAGUCAACUGUUAAAUCUUGAGGCUCAACUUCAAAAUCUCAGUCGAAACUAUUCAACUAGAGUAUAGUAGAGGUAAAGGGAAUUCCCAGUGGAGCGGUGAAAUGCGUAGAUAUUGGGAAGAACACCGAUGGCGAAGGCACUUUACUGGGCUAUUACUGACACUCAGAGACGAAAGCUAGGGUAGCAAAUGGG